rnacentral:rRNA from 1 species
CAGCCGCCACGGGAAUACGUAGGGUGCGAGCGUUAAUCGGAAUUACUGGGCGUAAAGCGUGCGCAGGCGGUUGUGUAAGACAGGUGUGAAAUCCCCGGGCUUAACCUGGGAACUGCGCUUGUGACUGCACAGCUAGAGUAUGGCAGAGGGGGGUGGAAUUCCACGUGUAGCAGUGAAAUGCGUAGAGAUGUGGAGGAACACCGAUGGCGAAGGCAGCCCCCUGGGCCAAUACUGACGCUCAUGCACGAAAGCGUGGGGAGCAAACAGGAUUAGAUACCCGAGUAGUCCCUGUCUCUUAUAC